GAUGAACGCUGGCGGCGUGCCUAAUACAUGCAAGUCGAGCGAAGCGGGGACGGGUGAGUAACAUGUGGAUAACUUCCUAUAAGACUGGGUUAACUUCGGAAAACGGGAGCUAAACUGGACACUUCUAGUUGGAUCCACGCUGUAUUAGCUAGUUGGUAAGCUAACGGCUAACCAUGGCAACGAUGCAUAGCAGACCUGAGAGGGUGACCAGCCACACUGGAUCUGAGACACGGUCCAGACUCCUACGGAUGGCAGCAGUAGGGAAUCUUCCACAAUGGGCGAAAGCCUGACGGAGCAACGCCGCGUGGGUGAUGAAGGUCUUCGGAUCGUAAAGCUCUUUUAUCAGGGAGGCGAUACCGGAUGAGAAAGCCACGGCUAACUCCGGGCCAGCAGCCGCGGUAAUCC
rnacentral:rRNA from 1 species